AUUUUAGACUAAGAAAAUCUUUAUAAAUUGUAUUUCAAACUUACAUAGUCACGUUUCGCUGCAUCCCGCCAAGAUUAUUUCUUAAGACUGUUUCCAGGUAUUUUCCACAGGCUCUUUUUGCCAUACAAUGUUUCUUAAACUCACUGUUGUGCCAAAAUUCAGUUAAAUUCGUCCACAUUUGUUAGAAAUACUUAUCUAAAUUUCGCCGCCAUAUUGGAUUUUGUUGUUUUGAUUUCCCACUCCCCCCAGCCAUCACGAAAAUCAUUAAUUGCACUCCCCAAUUAAUUGCACUCCUGGAGAGUGCAAUUAAUGAAAUAAUUGCACUCCUCUUAACCAAUCAGAUUGCAGUAAUUUUGUCAUGUAUAUAAUAAAUAGGUUUACCCCUUACUUUAAACACCAUAACAUUCGUUCUACUAGACAAAUUUUAAUAAUCUUAGUGCCAAAAUUCAUCUCGAUCCUCGCUAAUAGUUAGCUGUGUAAAAAUCCGCAGCAUUUGGUACCGAUAUUAAGACCAAUCUAUGAAAAUUUAUAAAUGAACGUCAAAAAUAAGAACUAUUAUUAUUAUAUGACGAACUAUUGAACUUGACAAUUUGCAUGUUAUGUUAAUAUAUAGUUUGGAUUAGAUAUAAUUGUAUUAGAA
rnacentral:lncRNA from 1 species